AAGGAGUUACUGGAGGCAAGAUGUGGAUUUUAAAAGCAUCCUUAGUUUUUGUGAUGGUUUUAUCCGUCUUUGCAGCUACACCAUGCUGUAUAGAUCGCGAAUUUGAAGCCGAUACAGGUGUGAUUGGCAGUUCCAUCAGAAAAGACAUAUUUCAUCCUAUCGAGGGCUUCAACACGAUGUCUUACGAUUCACAUAACAAAAUGGUUAAUAUGCAAAUAACCGUCGUUGUCAAUGGAAAUCUGGUUCAGAAUAAAAUCUUAAUGAACUACAACACGAAACGAGAAUACCUGAUUAGAAAUGGUCAAUGUACCGUGUAUGAGCUAAAUACUGCAAUGAGAGACCCCUGUAUUCCAGCUAACGCCACUUAUCUAAGAUCACCAAUAUACGGAUAUGGAAGCAACACAUUAGAAGCUGUUACAUGGGAAUAUUUUUCACCGGCUACUGGUGCCUUCGAUAGACUCUCUGUUACUAAAGAUUCUUGUGUCCCCCUUGUUUUAGCUCAAUAUAAUCCCCACCCACCCUUCUCAGAUAAUACGACCCAGACAGAUCUAGUUCUUAUAUACAGCAAUUUCCGUAUUGGUAUCAAAGAUAGAAAAGUGUUCAGUGUACCCGACUCAUGUGCUAAUCAACCAGUUCAGAAACCUGUUGGCACUCCAAUUUUUUGAGUAGUAGACGAUAUUAUCAGAUUGAUAUUUAUGAAUUAAAAAUAUUAACCUAC